rnacentral:lncRNA from 1 species
UAACAUUUAAUUUUCAACAUCACUGUUUAUGGUUUUGAAUUUCACUAGACGAGUUAACAUGGAAGUAAUGUAUGGAACUUCUUUUGUUUGAAUAUUUUUAAUAUUAUCACUAGCAUUUUCAUAUUUUUCGUGAACACAACGACAGACCGAACUUACCUGACAUUGUUGAAUAAGCGAUCAAAAAGUCAGCAUGAUUUGGUAAACGGAAUUCUUUAGAUGACUUACUAGUUCCAUCAUCGGGUACUGUGAGCAUUUGAAUCCUUUGCAGGUGUUGUGUAGUUGACUUGGAUAUCUUCCUUUCUUGACAGGCUUGUAUAAAAAAUAAUUUUGGCUUACCGGUAAGAGUAAGGGUUUUUUCUUUAUCACUACCAUUUUUGCCUGGUGUAAAAUAUGACCAAAUGGAAUUGGCUUUGUAACAUUUGUCAUGAGCAUAAAGCAUUCCUAAAUUUCCAUAGCUCAAUAUGCAAACUAUUAAGCAACUGUGAUCAGUGUGAUCUUGCUUAGCAACUAUAAUAAAAAUAUAUACAUUUUUAUCGAUUAAGAAUUAUUACGUGUUUUUAUAUUAUGUUAAAUUUCAUCUUUGUUUUAAUUUUCUCUUAAUACCUGUUUUCAUAGUUAAUUCUAUUUGGUUGAGGGUAAAAUCUUGAUGUUCUUGAACUAUGAAUCCCAAUGAUUGUAAUGUAUUCUUUAUAUUUGUACUGUCUCUAUCAGUUCCGGUUCGUGGUUGAAGAUCUCCGAAGCAGAAAUUUUUAUGAUUAAAUAUAAUUGCUAAGCCACGUUUUUUCAUAUUGUAAUGCACAGCAAAUAUUUUUGUGGGUGAUUCUGCCGAAGAUGAAGUAGUAGAUUCAAUUUCGUCGGCUUGAGUUGAGCUGCAAAGACAAUAUAUAAUAUUCUCUUACAUUUUAAAUAAAUUCAUUUCAUUUUAA